rnacentral:rRNA from 1 species
AGCAGCCGCCGCGGUAAUACAGAGGGUGCGAGCGUUAAUCGGAUUUACUGGGCGUAAAGCGUGCGUAGGCGGCUUUUUAAGUCGGAUGUGAAAUCCCUGAGCUUAACUUAGGAAUUGCAUUCGAUACUGGGAAGCUAGAGUAUGGGAGAGGAUGGUAGAAUUCCAGGUGUAGCGGUGAAAUGCGUAGAGAUCUGGAGGAAUACCGAUGGCGAAGGCAGCCAUCUGGCCUAAUACUGACGCUGAGGUACGAAAGCAUGGGGAGCAAACAGGAUUAGAUACCCCUGUAGUCCUGUCUCUUAUACC